UACGAAGGGGGCUAGCGUUGUUCGGAAUUACUGGGCGUAAAGCGCGCGCAGGCGGUCUUCCAAGUCAGUGGUGAAAGCCCGGAGCUCAACUCCGGAAUUGCCAUUGAAACUGUGAGACUGGAGUACGAGAGAGGUGAAUGGAAUUCCCAGUGUAGAGGUGAAAUUCGUAGAUAUUGGGAAGAACACCGGUGGCGAAGGCGGCUCACUGGCUCGUAACUGACGCUCAGGCGCGACAGCGUGGGGAUCAAGCAGG
rnacentral:rRNA from 1 species